AUGUGAUUGAUUUUUUAAUUAUUUAAGAAGAGAGAGAAGAAACCUCUUCUUCUCUUCUCCUCGUCCAAAACAGGGGAUCCGAUCCCCCUCAUCCCCUCUCCCCCCACACACAGUCAAGGAAGGCCAACUUCGGCAACCCCUAGCAGCUCCCGAUGGCAAUGAACACACUAUCCCGAUGACAGCCCCAACGGCAGCUGUUGCUGAUGGCAUGCAAGAAAAAUUGAAAAUAGAACAGGGGUGACCCUGUUCUUCUUAAAUCCGAUGGCUUGCCGUCGCUUGUCGAUGAAGGAAGGACACCC
rnacentral:lncRNA from 1 species